GAAGCAGAGCUAGGGGAGCCGAGGAGCUCCUGCUGGGCUCUGCCAGGGAAGAAGCCGCAGUAGGAGCCCCUACGUAGGCCCUGCAAGAGGCCUGGCGUUCAGGAAAGGGCCCGCUGACCAUCCAGUGCAGGGAAAGGAGUCCAGCUCUGGCCUCUGCCCCUCAGCUCCACCUCCUGCAUUCCUAGGAGUUCUCCAGAGGAUCUGAUGGGAGCUCAGAACCGGUCCCAACAGGUCCCUCCACCCUUCAUGAACGGGGGCUGGAAAAUGUGGUCUGCUCUGAUAAGGAUUUGCGUCAGGCUACUGGCUACUCAGCAGCCGAGAAGAGCAAGCCUCCAGGCCUCUGCACGCGUGCCUUCUGCCCGGUGAGCCUCUCACUAUCGUCCUUCUAAAAGACACUUCAAAAAGAGGCAAAAUCAUGCCUGCCUGGCCCUCGGAGGCUGCCCAGUGCAUCAUAGUACAUCCCA
rnacentral:lncRNA from 10 species